GAUGAACGCUAGCGGCAGGCUUAACACAUGCAAGUCGAGGGGUAACAGGGAGUGCUUGCACUCCGCUGACGACCGGCGCACGGGUGCGUAACGCGUAUGCAACCUACCUUUUACAGGGGGAUAGUCAAGAGAAAUUUUGAAUAAUACCCCAUACGAUCUUAAUUACACCUGUAAUAAAGAGGAAAACUUCGGUGGUAAAAGAUGGGCAUGCGUCCUAUUAGUUUGAUGGUGAGGUAACGGCUCACCAUGACUACGAUAGGUAGGGGUCCUGAGAGGGAGAUCCCCCACACUGGUACUGAGACACGGACCAGACUCUUACGGGAGGCAGCAGUGAGGAAUAUUGGACAAUGGAGGCAACUCUGAUCCAGCCAUGCCGCGUGCAGGAAGACUGCCCUAUGGGUUGUAAACUGCUUUUAUACAGGAAGAAACACUCCCUCGUGAGGGAGCUUGACGGUACUGUACGAAUAAGGAUCGGCUAACUCCGUGCCAGAAGG
rnacentral:rRNA from 1 species